rnacentral:rRNA from 1 species
UACGGAGGAUCCGAGCGUUAUCCGGAUUUAUUGGGUUUAAAGGGUGCGCAGGCGGGAGAUUAAGUCGGCGGUGAAAUUUUGCAGCUCAACUGUAAAAGUGCCUUCGAUACUGGUUUCCUUGAGUGUGGAUGAAGUAGGCGGAAUUUGUGGUGUAGCGGUGAAAUGCUUAGAUAUCACGAGGAACUCCAAUUGCGCAGGCAGCUUACUAAACCACUACUGACGCUCAGGCACGAAGGCGUGAGGAUCAAACAGGAUUAGAUACCCU